rnacentral:tRNA from 1 species
GAGGGUAGAGCUCAGUGGUAGAGUGUGUGCUUAGCAUGCAUGAGGUCCUGGGCUCAAUCCUCAGCAUCUCCA